rnacentral:lncRNA from 1 species
GAGCACAGAAGUCCCAUUACCUGGUCUGGGUGUCAUGGUGAGACAAACAGAAAGAACAAAACAAGAACUAUAUCUCAAUAAACAUCCUGCCAUAUGAUGUGAUCCUUUCACUUCCUUCUCAAAGAAGGGAACCAGCAAAACAGCCCUAAUUAAGCCCUGCCCUAUUCCACUUCCAGACAAUUGAUUUCAAGUCCAGGUGCUAUGCUUUGAAAGGGUUGUGAGCCUGCUAAAGAAAUGCUAAACAACAUCUUAAGAGAGAGAGCUGCCCAGGUCAGAGUCUGGUAAUAAAUCUCCUGUUGGAUGUUCAGAAGAGGCUCCAGCAUCCCUGUGAAGCUGAAGAGAGAGACGAGCCUGGGACAAAUAUCUGGGAGGCAAUCAGAGGUCCUUAUCAAGGUGGAGAGGUCGGUGUGGUGGGAAUCCUCAGAAUUGUCAGAAGCUAUUCUCUGAUUUCUCUCCGUCGCCCCUUGUCUCUCUUGGUUGAAAACUGUAUUCCAGCUUCUGAAAGAGGUGUCCGUUGUCUUUUUGGCCUGUUCAUUUUUGC